AUCAAAACGACGUCGUUUUGAUUAUUAAAAAAAAAAAAAACCCACCUCGUUCUUUCCUGAUUUCCCCUUUCCCUUCCCUCCCCACCCCACUUCGACGCUCAAAAAUUCCAGAGAAGAGAGAAAGGGGCGACUGCCACCACCACCGAUCAGAGAGGGGGGGCUCCCACCACCGGUGACGACGCUUCCCACCUCCACCGGCGACCACGCUUCCCACCUCCACCAACAGAACCCAACCCCAGCGCUCCCCACCGCCGGCGAACGCCACCACUACCGACUUCUGGGCAGUCCGACUUUGCCCCACCACGAAGGUAUUAUGAUUUGAAGGUCGAGGGUGGAGCUGAAGCUGUGAAGGGAUCUCGAAUGCUGGCUUAAACAUCACCUGUUGCUGCAAAGAGAUCGUCCUACCCAAGAAGAGAUCGCCCUAGCUGAAACAUCACCAGUUCCAAUGUCGGCUUCUCAUGCAGAGGGAGAGCCUCCACUCUCGCUUCCUCUGCCGCUUCCAUUGGCAAUGACUUAAAAUGCAGCUCAACAUAAAAAUUGGGACCCAUUUUCCCCUUAUACAUAUACUUGGAGCAACAAAAGAAGGGUUUUUGGUUGGAAAAUUGGAUGAAAGAGAUUGAAGCUAUGAUCAAAUAUUUGUUGUAAUUUGGAAUAUGAAGUUGUAAUUUGUUGAAAUAUCAAGUUGUAGUAACAAGUUUGAGUUUUUUGAAUCCUAACUUCGAUUGUAGCCUAUUUGUGUGACUAUAUUGCUUUAUGGUUUUUGUUGUGAAUGGAUAAUUUGGCAAUUGUUUUUUGGCUA